CGUCUGGUGUCUCUGUGUCUGUUUCUGUGAAGUCGGUGAACCUGAUCGUCACAGAUCAUCGUCGCCGGGGACGCGGACACCGUAGUUUCUUUGUUGUUCCCACAGGACGAAUAUCCUUCCUCGUUUGGAGAGAAUUUCUUUCUCUUCUUUCGCGCUCUGGAAGAAAGUGCAACGUCUCUCCCAUCGCGCGAACGAUCGGUGUACAGAUUGAAUACGAUGCUCGCGAUUCAGCGUCGCGGAUCAGCCGACACGUGGCGGUGCGUCUUCGAGCCUCAAAUCGAAGCCAAAAAAAUCGACGGAUAUAAACUUCCACGAAUACAAACUUUCGAAUAUUCGAAACAUGUACGAUCCGAAGGUAAGAUGUUCUUCCCCGUGGCGAGCAUUGAAAAAAAAACUCUCGAUCACACGUUAACGGAAUGUAAACACGUCGUUGGUGACGUGGCGUUGAAAAAAUCCGGCGAAUGGAGUGGGUACUUCUCACAUCCAGCAAAAUGCCGUACGCCGUGAUCGCGAACGAUCGCGUAACCUUCGCCACGACCCUGGACGAUAAAAGUGUGAAGAGAUACGAGGAGGAAUAUCGGCAGCGUUUCUCGUGUAGUGCAAUUAAACGUCGAAGGUAUUUGUGACAACAGUCUGUACCUGAGAUUCUUGGAGUUUGUUGAUUCGAAAACUGCAAACUUGCACUACUCUUUCACUUAUGGUUACUCAUACCAUGUAUGUCACAAUGUUACAGAGUGACUUUUGCUCUACGAAGAUCGGCUACAUGACGAAACCAGAAUAUGUUUGCAGACUGGCUGCGCAACACGAUGUGCAAGUGAAUCCUAUCGAUUCGAAUCUGCACUUUGUGGGAAAACUCGUGCCACUUUUUGAACAGAAAAAGAUGCUUGCUGUGAAGGAAUUGCAGGAGAAAGUCGUGGUGCAAGAUCAGCUUGAGGAUGUUACGCAUCGAGGGGAAGAAAGAACUUCACUAUUUGCACAGAAACGUGCCGUGCGAGAUUAAAAUUGACGCGAAGAAGAGCCAGUAUUAAGGCCAUUCUACAUAAGACGCAGGUCGCAAGUUGCUGAUCUCGAGAAAUUGACCAAAAUAAUUUAAAAUAAGUAUACGAUUGUUUAGUUAUAACAGACAUGUUUGGUAUUUUAAUUAACACUACAAAAUUUAGUUUUGUAGUUUAAUCUGCACAGUACACUUGUAUUAGGUUGUAUUAGGUUGACCAGGUAAUUUUCAAAACAAAAGAAAAAUCAAUUAGGUUGACCAAGUAAUUUUCAAAACAAAAAUCAAUUUUUUCUAAACUAACAUUUUUUAUAAAAACUAAAAUAUUUUUUUUUACAAAACCCUAUUAUUAUUCUUCUAACCCUAUUGUUAUUCUUCUAAUGGUGAAUAUAUUCACCAUUUUUAUCUAAAACUGUUUCCCAUCUUUCUGGCAAUGCUAGUAUGCCGUCUUUCCAAACUUGUCUAUUUUUUUCUUCAAAAAAUCUAGAGAUAUACGAUUUGCAUUCAUCUACAGAAGUAAACUUUUUUUCAUAGAGCGAAUUUUGCAAAGGUCGAUAGAUGUGAAAAUCCGAUGGUGCGAUAUCUGUCGAAUUAGGUGGAUGACAGAACUUCCCAUUCAAAUUCUCUUAAUUUUUGCCGAGUCUGCACUGAUACAUGAGGCCUCGUGUUGUCUUGAUAAAAAAUUACUUUUUUCCUAUUAGCAAGUUUUGGUCGUUUUUUUUAAAUGUUUUCAUAUAUUUGGUUUAGUUGUGUAAAAUAUGUUUUCUUGGUUAUUUCCACACACGAUAUGUCGUGCCACAAUAGUCCUUUGUGAUCCCACACUAUUGAUAGUUUUAAUAUUUCAAUUGUUACGUCGGCCGAUUGUAGUUGGACUACCAUCCAUCUUUCACCUUCGGUAAUAAGUUGUUUUAAGAAUGAUUCCUUUUCGUAUCGUUUUCACGAUACGAAAGGAAUCACAAAACGACAUUCGGUCUAUUAACGAUUUUUCUGCUAAUACUUGUUUCCAAACAUCGGCGUCACAACUGAAUCCGUGUGUUUUAAAGAAUAUUUCUACUGCCGAUUUCGAUAAGUGUAGUAUAUUGGCUAUUUCUCUUAUGCUGUAAUAUGGAUUCACUUCUAUAAUAUCUAAUAUUUUUGUGUCAUUUGGUACCUGUUUCGGUACGCGUAUCUCGUCGUUCAAACUAAACUCCCCUUGCCGAAAUUUUUUGAACCACCAUUUUUUGAAUAUGUCUAUCGACAUAGAAACAUACUUUCGGACACACGGAUUCAGAUCUCGAUUUCGGAAAGUUUAAUACUAUAUAUUGGUUAUUUCUCCUAUACUAUACUACGGAUUUACUUCUAUAUCUAAUAAUAAUAUUCUUGUUUCAUUCGGUAUGUGUUUCGGUACGCGUAUCUCGUCGUUCAAACUAAACUCCCCUUGCCGAAAUUUUUUGAACCACCAUUUUUUGGUGGUUCAAAAAUGGUUGCACCAUUUUUUCACUUAUAGUACCCGUACCGUGUAUGUUACAGAUUGUUUUGGUGGUUUCUGCAGCAUUUUUACCUUCGCGAUAAUGUAACAAAGUGCACAUAAUUACACGGAAAUACAUCUUUUUGUUAUCUAUUUAAAUUACAAUAACUAUUCAAAAAAAUUGCUUGGUAUAUAUUGAAUUUAUUUUUGCUUACCUUUACGAAAAUAAAACAGCAUGAUGGAACGAAACUAUAAUUUUUCGUGCUCCAUUUUUUCUCUUUGCAAGUAUAGUACGGUUAACCUACGUAUACAGCCUUAUUACUUUCAACGUGUAAGCAAAUCUAGUAUAUUUUGAUUUUUGUAAUACGAUUACAAUUUGUGAUACGAUAAAUACGAUUUUAAUCGUAUUGAUCAAAUCAGCCAAUUGACCAGCGUGAUUGGUCAAUUCUACGAAAUCUGUUCCUUGCGUUUGCGCUUGCGAUCAAUGUAGAACAGGCUUAAAAGGUCGUUAACAAUAUAGAUGGUUAAUUUUAUUCCCACCUACUUACAAGAGAUGUUUAAUUAACAUUAAUUGUCGAACACUCCAUAGAUACGGCGACCAUAUUUUUUGAAGAAAAUAAAGGACAACUUAGAAAUUGUUUUAUAAUAAAAAAGAGCACGUUUAUUUGUUAG